UUAUACCAUGCUCCUGCUGACAAGAUUAUUACCAUCAUUCAAUUCACCAAUCAAAUAGAUCUCUUCCACUUCUGUGCCUUCUAAUCCCAACUUAAUUCUUUAUCUUUGUUUCAUGUCAAACAAAUCCAACUUAAACUGAGUUCUCUUGAGGAAGGAACCUGCACUGUUAAAGAAACAAUAAUCACUGUACAAAAUGAAACUUGACUGGGAUCUGAAAAGGUAGACAAAGAAGAAAAACAAAUGAAAAACAGAUUAUAUCCAUGAAAAGGAAUUUGUUAGAAACUACCAGAUUAUUCUGAACCUGAUUAAAUAACAUGUGCCCCCCCACCCAUCUCCCACUUCUUAUCUGGUGACAGCUGCCAAGUAUUCUUUAACAACACUGUCUGCUUUAGUGGGCGUAAGUCUAUGGAAGUUGGACAUGAGAUGCUGUUUCAAACUUCGCCUCUGAGCUAUGUGGCGGCCACACAGGGGACAUGAACAGCUCUGUCGUGAAGGGGAAGUGCAUGAAUUCCCACUGUUGCCUUUUCCUGCUGAAACCUGUUGUAUAGGUACCAGGUGAUGAUUGGUCAGCAGGGGGUUAGUGAGAUCAGAUGCAGCAAGCAGAGCAGAGGUGCAAGGAUCCGCCUAACGACCCAACGAGACUCUCCAGGGCUGACAUGGUACUGCCGCCUGUAGGGGAGAUAGGCAUUAGUUUGCUGCAUCUACUCUGCCUGUUAAAGCAUUCUUAAUCCAAAGUGAUAAAAAAAAAUUCCCUUUAAAUCAUAUAAAUAAAUGAGUACAAAUUUAAAAGUAAAUGAAAGAUAAGAUCAGAUAAAAGUGAUGGAAAACGUGAUAAAAUGACAGCACAUACAAAGCUCACUGAUACUACUCACCUAGUGAUACAGUAUCUGGUGUACUCUGAAAUACACUAGUGAUAUACUGGUUAUCCAAAUCCUUUUGUAAUUUUAGUUGGCAUCUAAUGCUUUACUGCAGUCAUUAAUCAAGCUUUACUAAAAUAGUAAAUAUGUAGAGUAAACAAAAUGAGGUACUGCAUUCACACUUAUUGUUCAGCUACACUAAUACCUACUACAAGAAAGAACUGGCUUAAAUAAUACCCUGAAACUAUAAAUACAAUAUCACUACAACAAAAACAAUUAUAGUGAGACUAAGUUUGCUAAACUACUUCUAUCUAUAUUAACAUUUACUACAAAAUGUCUAUAGAUUUAUGUUGAAGCUAAGCCAACUGGUAAAGGCAGAAUAUUUCAUCUGUAUGUACAAGAACACCGGGACUUGCAUUUUGCUCAAAUUGCCUCAUGGAAAUCCUCAUCAACUCAAGGAAAGAAGUUAAUAAAAGAGUAAAAGUUG